UUUACUUCUCAGCCUUUUGGCUAAGAUCAAGUGUAGUAUCUGUUCUAAGUAGUUUUCUGCUCCAUGGAGUAUCCAAAGCUUGCCCACUCAAAGUACCUGUACCCUCU
rnacentral:snRNA from 1 species